rnacentral:rRNA from 1 species
UACGGAGGAUCCAAGCGUUAUCCGGAUUUAUUGGGUUUAAAGGGUGCGUAGGCGGCUUUUUAAGUCAGGGGUGAAAGACGGUGGCUCAACCAUCGCAGUGCCUUUGAUACUGAAGAGCUUGAAUGAACUUGAGGUAGGCGGAAUGUGACAAGUAGCGGUGAAAUGCAUAGAUAUGUCACAGAACACCGAUUGCGAAGGCAGCUUACUAAAGUUUAAUUGACGCUGAGGCACGAAGGCGUGGGGAUCAAACAGG